GUCGUAACAAGGUUUCCGUAGGUGAACCUGCGGAAGGAUCAUUACUGUGAUUUUAACAUCUUUACACUGCGUGAGCGCACAACAACACCUAAACAUGAAUACUUACUAGUCACUAAGAAAUCUAAAAGAAAUAAAACUUUCAACAACGGAUCUCUUGGUUCUCGCAUCGAUGAAGAGCGCAGCGAAAUGCGAUACCUAGUGUGAAUUGCAGCCAUCGUGAAUCAUCGAGUUCUUGAACGCACAUUGCGCCCUCCGGCAUUCCGGGGGGCAUGCCUGUUUGAGCGUCGUUUCCUUCUUGCGCAAGCAGAGUUGGGGUUGUCACCGUCUUUCGGUGGCUCCCCCGAAAUGGAACGAUUGCGGGCUUAGAGAGCGAACUAUAAAACGCGCGUUCUCCCCGCCGAACUUUUAAUCAAGCUCGACCUCAAAUCAGGUAGGAAUACCCGCUGAACUUAAGCAUAUCAAUAA
rnacentral:misc_RNA from 1 species